rnacentral:lncRNA from 1 species
CAAACGUGUCUUUCCCCACAAACAUGUCCGAUUCCCCCUAACGUGUCCUAUUCUCCUAAACGUGUCCGUAAUGCUUAAGUUUUCCCGAACCUGUUCGAUUUCAUAGACCCCAAACGUGUCCGAUGAUUGUUAUUUGUCGAAACGUGUCCACUGUUAAACGCCAAAACGUCUCACGUCUUUUAGCGUUAAUAUGUGAAUAUCCUAAAUGACACCAAUACGUUUACGGAAAUGCUGUAUAUGAUUGGGGACACAUUUGAAGAAGUGGUCGUUUAUUAUCAUUAGUUUGUUCAAUGCCGGUUGUUAACGAUUAUCACAAUUGCAAAUUUAUGACUGAAAUAUGCUUAUUGUCCAGUUGCAAGUAUUUCAUGCUCAUUAAGAGCGAACAUACAAUAAUUUUAGUACAGUUGAAUUCAUCGUUGACUUAAGGGAACAAUUUUGUACUAGAAAACGUUUCAAGCGUAACUAAAUGCACAUGAAC